rnacentral:rRNA from 1 species
CCUACGGGAGGCAGCAGUGAGGAAUAUUGGACAAUGGAUGGAAAUCUGAUCCAGCCAUGCCGCGUGCAGGAAGACGGCCCUAUGGGUUGUAAACUGCUUUUAUAUGGGAGCAAUAAGGUCUACGCGUAGACCGAUGAGAGUACCAUAUGAAUAAGCAUCGGCUAACUCCGUGCCAGCAGCCGCGGUAAU